rnacentral:SRP_RNA from 1 species
GCUGUGGUGUUACAUGCUAAACCCUGCUAAUGGGGAUGCUGAGGCUGGUGGGUUUCUUGAGCUUGGGCAUACUGAGCUACAGUAUAAUCAGAUGUCCAAACUAAGCUUGGAAUCAACAUGAUGAGCCUCUAGGAGCAGGGGCUCCCUAGGUUGCCUAAGGAGGGGUGAACCAUCCCAGGUCAGAAAUGGAGCAGGUCAAAUAUCUUAGACCAGUAAGAGUAUAAUGGGCCCUGUGGAUGGCCUUUGUUGCAGCCUGAGUAAGAUAGGUAGACCCAGACUUU